GGGGGGCGAUGUCGGAUUUAUUGGGCGUAAGCGAGCGCAGGCGGUUUUUUAAGUCUGAUGUGAAAGCCUUCGGCUUAACCGGAGAAGUGCAUCGGARACUGGGAGACUUGAGUGCRGAAGAGGACAGUGGAACUCCAUGUGUAGCGGUGGAAUGCGUAGAUAUAUGGAAGAACACCARUGGCGAAGGCGGCUGUCURGUCUGUAACUGACGCUGAGGCUCGAAAGCAUGGGUAGCGAACAGGAUUAGAUACCCUGGUAGUCCAUGCCGUAAACGAUGAGUGCUAAGUGUUGGAGGGUUUCCGCCCUUCAGUGCUGCAGCUAACGCAUUAAGCACUCCGCCUGGGGAGUACGACCGCAAGGUUGAAACUCAAAGGAAUUGACGGGGGCCCGCACAAGCGGUGGARCAUGUGGUUUAWUUCKAAGCUACGCRAARAACCUUACCAGGUCUUGACAUCUUCUGCCAAUCUUAGAGAUAAGACGUUCCCUUCGGGGACAGAAUGACAGGUGGUGCAUGGUUGUCGUCAGCUCGUGUCGUGAGAUGUUGGGUUAAGUCCCGCAACGAGCGCAACCCUUAUUAUCAGUUGCCAGCAUUCAGUUGGGCACUCUGGUGAGACUGCCGGUGACAAACCGGAGGAAGGUGGGGAUGACGUCAAAUCAUCAUGCCCCUUAUGACCUGGGCUACACACGUGCUACAAUGGACGGUACAACGAGUCGCGAAGUCGUGAGGCUAAKCUAAUCUCUUAAAGCCGWUCUCAGWUCGGAUUGUAGGCUGCAACUCGCCUACAUGAAGUUGGAAUCGCUAGUAAUCGCGGAUCAGCAUGCCGCGGUGAAUACGUUCCCGGGCCUUGUACMCCCCSC
rnacentral:rRNA from 2 species